GAAAUCCCGGCGGUUUCUGCUAUAUAAAGCGAGGCAGCAAGUGACUGGUAUCACUCGCCUUCCUCCGGCUCUGCAGCGUUCACCUGGGCAGCUCGUCACGCAGACUCCAAAUAUGAAGACCGCCGUCGUUCUCGCCUGCCUGCUGGUGGCCGUCUCUGCCAAGCCGCAACUUGGUUUUGGAUUUGGCGGUGCCUCUGGUGGAGCUAACUCAUUCGGCACCCAGGGACAGACUUCCGGAUUCCUGGGCCAAUCCGGCAUUCAGAGUGGCGGUGCUAGCGCUGGGGGUCAGGCAUUUGGUCUGGGAUCUUCUAUCAGCGGUGCCAACAGCCAACUGGGACAGGGUUCCGGGUUCCUCGGAAGCAACCAGUUCAGCAGCCAGAACGCCUUCAGUAACCAGUUUGGACGCUAAUGAAAAGCAAAAUCGCCUCGCUUAUUUGAUGUGUGGCGGGAACGGACCAUUGCGGACGAUGGCGUAUUUGUUAUGACAUGAAAUAGAAUUCCAUUUUGACAUAGCUCAGCGCAUUUUUACGGUGAAGUGGCACAUCGCUCUCAUCGGUUGGUAAGCUUUUCGGCGAAAAUUGAGUCCCGAACAUCAUAUAGGCAUGUGUUUUGAACGUAUCACCGGAGGACCAUCGUUUUAGUGUAUGAAGUCGAAAUAAUAUAAUGAAAUGAAA